rnacentral:rRNA from 1 species
UUGGGCACUCUAAGGUGACUGCCGGCUAAAAGUCGGAGGAAGGUGGGAUGACGUCAAAUCAUCAUGCCCCUUAUGACCUGGGCUACACACGUGCUACAAUGGGCGGUACAAAGGGUCGCGAACCCGCGAGGGGGAGCCAAUCCCAAAAAGCCGCUCUCAGUUCGGAUUGCAGGCUGCAACUCGCCUGCAUGAGGCCGGAAUCGCUAGUAAUCGCGGAUCAGCAUGCCGCGGUGAAUACGUUCCCGGGCCUUGU